rnacentral:rRNA from 1 species
AACGAACGCUGGCGGCAGGCUUAACACAUGCAAGUCGAACGCCCCGCAAGGGGAGUGGCGCACGGGUGAGUAACGCGUGGGAAUCAACCUUCUGGUACGGGACAACCUCGGGAAACUGAGGCUAAUACCGUAUAUCUCCUCAGGGAGAAAGAUUUAUCGCCAGAAGACGAGCCCGCGUCCGAUUAGCUAGUUGGUAGGGUAAUGGCCUACCAAGGCGACGAUCGGUAGCUGGUCUGAGAGGACGAUCAGCCACACUGGGACUGAGACACGGCCCAGACUCCUACGGGAGGCAGCAGUGGGGAAUAUUGGACAAUGGGUGCAAGCCUGAUCCAGCCAUGCCGCGUGCAGGAAGAAAGCCUUCUGGGUUGUAAACUGCUUUUGCCAGGGGAUAAAAACACUUUGCGAAGUGGAUUGAAGGUACCUGGUGAAUAAGCCACGGCUAACUACGUG